GGAGGGGUGGUCGAGUGGUUUAUGGCUCCGGUCUUGAAAACCGGCAGGCCGAAAGGCCUCGUGGGUUCGAAUCCCACCCCCUCCGCCA
rnacentral:tRNA from 1 species